rnacentral:sRNA from 1 species
CCUUUUCCGGUUUCGGCUAAAGAAAGUUCUCAUAAAUGAUCGGCGCCAUGUGAUUUUGACAGACUGCAGGUGAUCAGCGUGUUUGGUGAGUGCUAAAAGACAUGGCGUUUUAUCGUCACGGUAUCCAUCAAAAGACAAAAGUUAAUUGCACGAUCGUCGCAAGCGCUAGACAUGGUAUACAAAAGACGAGUAAACGAAUGUCAAUCAUUUUUUAACAUCCUAUCUGGGGCCUCAAUUCAGUUGAUUGACAGGGGCACACUGACCAGAAUUUGAAAAUACUUACCAAUUCUGCUCUUGGAUCCUUUGGAUAAUCCGGAGAUCUGAUAUAUAUGCCUAGUCGUCCAAUGUCGCAACUAGAUAUAUUCAAUGUGGCUGUGUCGCUCCAUGGUGUAUCUGGAGACAACAUAGGGGUUCGUGAAGUUGCAGAACAUCUGAAAAUUAUGAUGAAUUCGAUCAUUACAAGCCAUCUAUUGAAGAAUUAUUUCAUUAUUUCUCAAUAAGUUUCUCAAUAACUUUCAAUAAUUUCAUUGAUUUUCUUCGAUUUUAUUUUGUAACAAUUGUGCGCACAUGGAUGAAAUUUAAAAAUAAAUUUUGAAAUGUAUGUCAAAGUCUGUCAAAAAUGAUCUGAAAUAUGACAAAUUCUUGAAAUGC